UUUUAUUGUGUCUACCUCACUUUUUAGGUCUAGAAUGGUUUUGUUCAUUUCCAUCACCUGUUUGGAUGUGUUCCUGUUUUUCUUUAAGGACUUCUACGUGUUUGGUUGUGUUUUCCUGUUUUUCUUUAAGGACUUGUUACUCUUUAGCAGUGUUCUCCUGUAUUUCUUUAAGUGAGUUAUGAAAGUCCUUCUUGAUGACCUCUACCAUCAUCAUGAGAUAUGCUUUUAAAUCUGGGUCUAGCUUUUUGGGUGUGUUGGGGUGCCCAGGACUGGGUGAGGUGGGAGUGCUGCAUUCUGAUGAUGGUGAGUGGUCUUGGCUUCUGUUAGUAAGAUUCUUACGUUUGCCUCUGGCCAUCUGGUAAUCUCUGGAGUCAGUUGUUAUAGUUGUCUGUGGUUAGAGCUUGUUCCUCUCGUGAUUCUGUUAGUCUCUAUCAGCAGACCUGGGAGACUAGCUCUCUCCUGAGUUUCAGUGGUCUGAGCACUCUCUGCAGGCAAGCUCUCCUCUUCAGGGAAGGUGUCCAGAUAUCUGGUGUUUGAACCUGCCUCCUGGCAGAAGUUGUGUUCCACUCACCAGUGGUCCUAAGAUCUUGUGGAGAAUGCUCUGUGGACCUUGGGGGUGACUCCGCGCCCAAGGCGACCCGGUGCUGGGGCCGACCGGAAGGGACCCAUGCCUGACAUUUUAGGUGAGUUCUAUGGAUAUAAACUCACCUUAUUCUUGUAAGCAAGUACUUUCUCCCAUUGAGCCAUGUUCACAGUCUUACCAUUUACCCCAUUUCAAUGUCAUUAAAUGAAUUCAUGUUGAGACUGUCAACAGUAUUCUAGAACUGUAUUCAUUUUGCAAAAUCAAAACUCUGAAGGUAUUAAACAAUCAACUGAGUUAUCUACCUUCUCUCUGAGCCUCCCCCAGGCCUUGGCACCUGCCAUUUUGCUUCUUGUCUUUACAAGUUUGUAUCUGUAAGUAGAAUCAUGCAGUGUUUCUAUUUUCCUGAGUGUCACAUUUCAGUUAGCAUUUAUACCUUUAAGGGUCAUUCAUGUUGUAGAUGAAUCAGAAAAUCAGAAUGUCUUUUUUAGGUACACACACAACAUCCUGUCUGAUGCAUACACCUUAUUUUAUUUACUCAUUUGUCUGUCAAUGGCCACGUGGGCUGCUUUUGUAUUUUGGUUAAUAUGGAGAACACUAAUUUAAACAUAGGUAUGGGUUUUUUGACACGUUAUAAUAUUGUUAUUUUUUUCAUACUGUGUGUUUUUAUUACUUCCCUUUCCCUGACUUCUAAAUCCUCCCCGCCUUGGUGACCAUGCAGCUUUAUAUUCUUCCCCCCGUCUUUCUUUCUCAAAAACCCCUGAUAACAUAUCAAAAAAUAAAUGUCAACACAUACACAAAUCAAAAAGGCAAAAAAAAAAAAAAAACCUCACAAAAAAUCAUGGGGUCUUUUGUAUUGGCCAACUACUCCUGGGCAUGGGAUCUGCCCUAGAGUCUCGUUGAUAUACACAGUGAAACUUCAUAAAAGAAUACAGAUUUCCCUUUGCCAAUCUGUACCAGUCGUGAAUAUCUUCUUGGUUGGGGCAGGGUGUCUUUUUGUCCACUUCUCAGUGCUUGUCUUGAUUGUUCUAACAGAUUGGGGCCACUUUAUAUUGAGUCCAUUCUGAGUUCAUUUUAAUUCUAGCUCCCCAAUCUUGGGAAAUAGAGGGUGAGAGAACUGGUAAUGGUGCCAGUCUUUAAGCUCUCAAAACCUGUCUCCAGUGACAGUUCCUUAAGCAAGACCACACUCUCUAAGCCUUUCCAAACAGUGUAGGAACUGUAAUCAAGGGGUCAGAUAGAGAGCCAAUGUUAUGGGGAACUUCUUAAUCAAACUGCUACUUUUAGAAUUUCUCACAUGUUUGUUAGCUACUCUUAAGUACUUUCUUUUGAGAAUCAUCUCCUCAAUCACUUGUACAUUCAAUAAAUCAGAUUUACUUUU
rnacentral:lncRNA from 1 species